AACGAACGCUGGCGGCAGGCCUAACACAUGCAAGUCGAACGCUGUAGCAAUACAGAGUGGCAGACGGGUGAGUAACGCGUGGGAACCUUCCCAGUGGUGCGGAAUAGCUCAGGGAAACUUGAGGUAAUACCGCAUAAGCCCCUAGGGGAAAGGAUUUAUCGCCAUUGGAUGGGCCCGCGUCGGAGUUAGCUAGUUGGUGAGGUAAUGGCUCACCAAGGCAACGAUCCGUAGCNGGUUUGAGAGAAUGACCAGCCACACU
rnacentral:rRNA from 1 species